UAAGGCUUAAUUGUUAUUGUUGUUCAAAUGUAUUGGGCUGCAUAAGUUUACAAGAUUUUUCCUCUUUUUUAAUAUAAUAAUUGUAAUUAUCAUAAGUAGCUAAAUUUACCUGGUUGACUGCAUUACACAAGAGACAAUUGGGCAUGCACUAUAUAUACAAGUGUGAACCUAACAUGACCAAUAUGUACUGGUUCAUGUGCUUGCUCAUUGUGAAUGCAUUAUUUGGCAUAGUUAUACCUUGGUUAAAAGUAAUAUAUUGCAGUUUAGUCAAUAAAUAAGACGACUAAAAUUUUUAACUUCAUCUAUAAUUCAUAAAUACUAUAAGAUGUUUCUGUCCAAAAUAAGUGAAGUUGUCUUUGUGUUGAUGUUUCUUAUACAUCAAAUUGACAAUGUAGUUCAUUCACACACAUAUUUGUGUAAAAAAAAUAUUUAAACUUAAAAGCUAUAUAAUAUUUUAUCCAUAUUUAUUUUAAUAUAAAGGUGCUAUAGAAUACACUCUAUAUUAUUUUGUUAAUGUAUGUUCUUAGUCCAAAAUUACCUUUUUA
rnacentral:misc_RNA from 1 species